GGCUGUUCUGAGUCCAUUGGUGUUUACAACUAAUUGAUUACAACUAGUUACAGGUGUCUUUGUUGCUGCUCCAUUCCCACUACUUCACUUGACUAGCCUUAA
ensembl:misc_RNA Y_RNA Y RNA